AGAGUUUGAUCCUGGCUCAGGAUGAACGCUGGCGGCGUGCCUAACACAUGCAAGUCGAGCGAGAUUUAGUGGAGUGGAGACUUCGGUCAAAGUGAAGCUAAUGAAAGCGGCGGACGGGUGAGUAACGCGUGGGCAACCUGCCCCAUACAAAGGGAUAGCCACUGGAAACGGUGAUUAAUACCUUAUAAGUCGGUAGUCUCGCAUGAGACAGCCGACAAAGAUUUAUCGGUAUGGGAUGGGCCCGCGUUUGAUUAGCUAGUUGGUGAGGUAACGGCUCACCAAGGCGACGAUCAAUAGCCGACCUGAGAGGGUGAUCGGCCACACUGGAACUGAGACACGGUCCAGACUCCUACGGGAGGCAGCAGUGGGGAAUAUUGCACAAUGGGCGAAAGCCUGAUGCAGCGACGCCGCGUGAGUGAAGAAGGUCUUCGGAUCGUAAAACUCUGUCCUUGGUGAAGAAAAAAAUGACGGUAGCCAAGGAGGAAGCCCCGGCUAACUACGUGCCAGCAGCCGCGGUAAUACGUAGGGGGCAAGCGUUAUCCGGAAUCACUGGGCGUAAAGGGUGCGUAGGCGGCUGAUCAAGCCAGGGGUGAAAGGCAAUAGCUUAACUAUUGUGAGCCUUUGGAACUGGUCAGCUUGAGUGCAGGAGAGGAAAGCGGAAUUCCUAGUGUAGCGGUGAAAUGCGUAGAUAUUAGGAGGAACACCCGUGGCGAAGGCGGCUUUCUGGACUGUAACUGACGCUGAGGCACGAAAGCGUGGGGAGCAAACAGGAUUAGAUACCCUGGUAGUCCACGCUGUAAACGAUGAAUACUAGGUGUCGGGGGUCAAAGCCCGGUGCCGCAGCUAACGCAUUAAGUAUUCCGCCUGGGGAGUACGGUCGCAAGUGUGAAACUCAAAGGAAUUGACGGGACCCCGCACAAGCGGUGGAUUAUGUUGUUUAAUUCGACGCAACGCGAAGAACCUUACCAGGCAGGCCUUGACAUACUCGGCAAAGCUCUAGAGAUAGAGUGGAGGUUAUCCGGGAUACAGGUGGUGCAUGGUUGUCGUCAGCUCGUGUCGUGAGAUGUUGGGUUAAGUCCCGCAACGAGCGCAACCCUUGUCUUUAGUUGCCAUCAUUCAGUUGGGCACUCUAAAGAGACUGCCGGUGAUAAACCGGAGGAAGGUGGGGAUGACGUCAAAUCAUCAUGCCCCUUAUAUCUUGGGCUACACACGUGCUACAAUGGUCGGUACAACGGGCAGCGAAAGAGUGAUCUGGAGCAAAUCCCAAUAAACCGAUCCCAGUUCGGAUUGUAGGCUGCAACUCGCCUACAUGAAGUUGGAGUUGCUAGUAAUCGCGAAUCAGAACGUCGCGGUGAAUACGUUCCCGGGCCUUGUACACACCGCCCGUCACACCACGGGAGUUGGUUGUACCAGAAGCAGUUGAGCCAACC
rnacentral:rRNA from 1 species